rnacentral:tRNA from 2 species
GCCGCGGUGGCGGAAUUGGUAGACGCGCUAGAUUUAGGAUCUAGUAAGCUCAGCUUGUGGAGGUUCGACCCCUCUCCGCGGUA